CCUACGGGUGGCUGCAGUGGGGAAUAUUGCACAAUGGGGGAAACCCUGAUGCAGCGACGCCGCGUGAGUGAAGAAGUAUUUCGGUAUGUAAAGCUCUAUCAGCAGGGAAGAAAUAAAGUCCUUCGGACUUUGGACGGUACCUGACCAAGAAGCCCCGGCUAACUACGUGCCAGCAGCCGCGGUAAUACGUAGGGGGCAAGCGUUAUCCGGAUUUACUGGGUGUAAAGGGAGCGUAGGCGGUAAGGCAAGUCUGAUGUGAAAGGCCAGGGCUCAACCCUGGGACUGCAUUGGAAACUGUUUAGCUGGAGUGUCGGAGAGGCAAGUGGAAUUCCUGGUGUAGCGGUGAAAUGCGUAGAUAUUAGGAGGAACACCAGUGGCGAAGGCGGCUUGCUGGACGAUGACUGACGCUGAGGCUCGAAAGCGUGGGGAGCAAACAGGAUUAGAUACCCUUGUAGUC
rnacentral:rRNA from 1 species